UACGGGGGGGGCAAGCGUUGUUCGGAAUUACUGGGCGUAAAGGGCUCGUAGGUGGCCAACUAAGUCAGACGUGAAAUCCCUCGGCUCAACCGGGGAACUGCGUCUGAUACUGGAGGGCUUGAAUCCGGGAGAGGGAUGUGGAAUUCCAGGUGUAGCGGUGAAAUGCGUAGAUAUCUGGAGGAACACCGGUGGCGAAGGCGGCAUCCUGGACCGGUAUUGACGCUGAGGCGCGAAAGCUAGGGGAGCAAACGGG
rnacentral:rRNA from 1 species